GUCAGAAGAGGAAUGGUCACGAGGAGGAAUAGAAUGAAAAAAGGAAGGGAAAGCAGGAGGAACAGAGGUGACAGAAGAGGCAGAUUUGAAAGGAAAAGAAGUUUCAUGAAAGAAGAAAUCCAUGGACACAAAACACUUUUUAGAACUUAGAUCAUAUAGUUUAUAACCCCUUUUAGCAAAAGGAUACCCCAGGAAAACACAUGAAAUGGCCCUAGGCUUUAACUUGUCCCUUUGAGGAAUGAGGACAGUAGCAUAGGCAAGGCAGCCAAAAGCCUUUAAAUGAGAGUAAGUGGGUGCCUUAUCAUGCAAGAUUUCAUAAGGGGAUUUACCAUGAAGGAGACUGGAGGGUAUUCUAUUAAUAAGAUAGGUAGCAGUUAAUAGACAAUCACCCCAGAAAGAAAGGGUAUACGAGACUGGAAAAGUAAAGCUCUACAUGUUUCAAGAAGAGUUCUAUGUUUCCUCUCAACAACACCAUUCCGUUGGGGAGUAUGUGGGUAGAUGGUUUGGUGUAUGAUUAAAAAAGGAUUUACCAGCAAUGCUAGAUCCCAAUUCUAAAGCAUUGUCACUCCUAAAAGUUUGUACAUUUGCAUUGAAUUGGGUCUUGACCAUACAGAGAAAAGAUUGAAGCAUGCAGAAAGCAUUGCUUUUAGACCCUAACAAAUGUGUCCAGGUUGCCCUAGAAAAGUCAUCAAGACUUCAAGAAAGCAUUGCUUUUUGACCCUAACAAAUGUGUCCAGGUUGCCCUAGAAAAAUCAUCAACUAUUGUGAGAAAAUAUCUAGAACCAGAAGAGGUGGGGGUAUGAUAAGGUCCCCAAGUAUCAACAUGAAUCAACUGAAAAGGUUUAGAUGUACUAGUAGUGCUUUCAGGAAAGGGAAGCCUAGUUUGCCUGGCCAUAGGACAGGUAGAGCAUUGAAAAGGCUGUUUAGAAGCAAAUGGAAAAGAUAAAGCAGAAAUGUGUUUCAUGUUCACAAAAGGUGUAUGACCCAACCUUAAAUGCCAAAUGUAAUUCAUGUCUAUGGCAACAGUAUUUAUUACACAUGGGACUGUUUACAUUCAAAGGCAAACCAACAGCUUGAUUACUAGAAUAUUCAUGUUUACAAGAAGUAGAAGAAGAAGAACAUAUAGAAACAGAAGAACCACAAUUAGAAGAAGAUGAAGGUGGCACCCAAACAAGAUUGUACAGACCAGCCUCCUCUUUACCAAGAUCUAGAGGCAUCCUCAGAGAAGGGGCCUGUAACAUGUGGAGGAAACAGGAAGUUGCAGUGAACAAAACUAUGAAAUGCAAUUGUUUUACUAACUUGUGGACAGAAAUCAAGUUGUGUUUGAAAGAAGGAACAAUCAAGACAUCAUGAAGAGUGAUGAAUGGAUUUAAUGCAAAAAAUCUUGUGCAUGUCACUUUCACUUUAUAUCCAUUAGGAAGAGAUACAAGAUAGGGUACAC
rnacentral:lncRNA from 1 species